GCCUGGAUAGCUCAGUUGUUGGGAGCGUGGCGUGGCGCUGAUCACGCCAAGGUUGCAGGUUCGAUCCCCGUCCGGGACA